GAUGAACGCUAGCUACAGGCUUAACACAUGCAAGUCGAGGGGCAGCGGGAUUGAAGCUUGCUUCAAUUGCCGGCGACCGGCGCACGGGUGAGUAACGCGUAUCCAACCUUCCGUACACUCAGGGAUAGCCUUUCGAAAGAAAGAUUAAUACCUGAUGGUAUGAUGAGAUCGCAUGGUAUCAUCAUUAAAGAUUUAUCGGUGUACGAUGGGGAUGCGUUCCAUUAGGUAGUAGGCGGGGUAACGGCCCACCUAGCCUACGAUGGAUAGGGGUUCUGAGAGGAAGGUCCCCCACAUUGGAACUGAGACACGGUCCAAACUCCUACGGGAGGCAGCAGUGAGGAAUAUUGGUCAAUGGACGAGAGUCUGAACCAGCCAAGUAGCGUGAAGGAUGAAGGUCCUACGGAUUGUAAACUUCUUUUAUAAGGGAAUAAAACCUCCCACGUGUGGGAGCUUGUAUGUACCUUAUGAAUAAGCAUCGGCUAACUCCGUGCCAGCAGCCG
rnacentral:rRNA from 1 species